rnacentral:hammerhead_ribozyme from 1 species
GCACUGCUGACGAGUCCCAAACGGGAUGAAACAGCUGUCCGGUGC